UACGUAGGGGGCGAGCGUUGUCCGGAUUUAUUGGGCGUAAAGAGCGUGUAGGCGGCCAGGUAGGUCUGCUGUGAAAACUCGAGGCUCAACCUCGAGACGUCGGCGGAAACCAUCUGGCUAGAGUCCGGAAGAGGAGAGUGGAAUUCCCGGUGUAGCGGUGAAAUGCGCAGAUAUCGGGAGGAGCACCAGUGGCGAAGGCGGAACUCUGGGCCGGAACUGACGCUGAGGAGCGAAAGCGUGGGGAGCAAACAGG
rnacentral:rRNA from 1 species